rnacentral:rRNA from 1 species
UACGGAGGGUGCAAGCGUUAUCCGGAUUCACUGGGUUUAAAGGGUGCGUAGGAGGGUAGGUAAGUCAGUGGUGAAAUCUUCGAGCUUAACUCGGAAACUGCCGUUGACUAACUAUCUAUCUUGAAGUACCGUGGAGGUGAGCGGAAUAUGUCAUGUAGCGGUGAAAUGCUUAGAUAUGACAUAGAACACCGAAUUGCGAAGGCAGCUCGCUACACGAAUAUUGACUCUGAGGCACGAAAGCGUGGGGAGUCAAACAGG